rnacentral:rRNA from 1 species
GACGAACGCUGGCGGCGUGCUUAACACAUGCAAGUCGAACGGAAAGGCCCUGCUUUUGUGGGGUGCUCGAGUGGCGAACGGGUGAGUAACACGUGAGUAACCUGCCCUUGACUUUGGGAUAACUUCAGGAAACUGGGGCUAAUACCGGAUAGGAGCUCCUGCUGCAUGGUGGGGGUUGGAAAGUUUCGGCGGUUGGGGAUGGACUCGCGGCUUAUCAGCUUGUUGGUGGGGUAGUGGCUUACCAAGGCUUUGACGGGUAGCCGGCCUGAGAGAGUGACCGGCCACAUUGGGACUGAGAUACGGCCCAGACUCCUACGGGAGGCAGCAGUGGGGAAUAUUGCACAAUGGGCGGAAGCCUGAUGCAGCAACGCCGCGUGCGGGAUGACGGCCUUCGGGUUGUAACCCGCUUUCGCCUGUGACGAAGCGUGAGUGACGGUAAUGGGUAAAGAAGCACCGGCUAACUACGUG